CCAGGUGUGGGACACGGACCGAGCACACCCUUAACCUGCCCAGGUGUGGGACACGGACCGAGCACACCCUUAACCUACCCCGGGUGUGGGGCUGGGACACGGACUGAGCACACCCUUAACCUGCCCCAGGUGUGGGACACGGACUGAGCACACCCUUAACCUGCCCAGGUGUGGGACAUGGACUGAGCACACCCUUAACCUGCCCAGGUGUGGGGCUUGAACAUGGACUGAGCACACCCUUAACCUGCCCCGGGUGUGGGACACGGACCGAGCACACCUUUAACCUGCCCAGGUGUGGGACAUGGACUGAGCACACCCUUAACCUGCCCAGGUGUGCAGGAUGGCACACAGACUGAGCACACCCUUAACCUGCCCAGGUGUGGGACAGGGACCGAGCACACCCU